rnacentral:rRNA from 1 species
AGGACGAACGCUGGCGGCGUGCUUAACACAUGCAAGUCGAGCGGAAAGGCCCUUCGGGGUACUCGAGCGGCGAACGGGUGAGUAACACGUGAGCAACCUGCCCUUAGCUCUGGGAUAGCUCCGGGAAACCGGAAUUAAUACCGGAUAUGACCUAGGCCGACAUCGGCCGUGGUGGAAAGUUUUUCGGCUAGGGAUGGACUCGCGGCCUAUCAGCUAGUUGGUGGGGUAAUGGCCUACCAAGGCGACGACGGGUAGCCGGCCUGAGAGGGCGACCGGCCACACUGGGACUGAGACACGGCCCAGACUCCUACGGGAGGCAGCAGUGGAGAAUCUUGCGCAAUGGGCGAAAGCCUGACGCAGCGACGCCGCGUGGGGGAUGAAGGCCUUCGGGUUGUAAGCUCUUUCGCCCGCGACGAUGAUGACGGUAGCGGGAGAAGAAGCCCGGCUAACUCGCGCCAGCAGCCGC